ACUCCUACGGGAGGCAGCAGUGGGGAAUUUUGGACAAUGGGCGCAAGCCUGAUCCAGCAAUGCCGCGUGCAGGAUGAAGGCCUUCGGGUUGUAAACUGCUUUUGUACGGAACGAAACGGCGAGCUCUAAUACAGUUUGCUAAUGACGGUACCGUAAGAAUAAGCACCGGCUAACUACGUGCCAGCAGCCGCGGUAAU
rnacentral:rRNA from 1 species